UACGGAGGGUGCGAGCGUUGUCCGGAAUCACUGGGCGUAAAGGGCGCGUAGGCGGCGCGGUAAGUCACUUGUGAAAUCUCUGAGCUUAACUCAGAACGGCCAAGUGAUACUGCAGUGCUAGAGUGUGGAAGGGGCAAUCGGAAUUCUUGGUGUAGCGGUGAAAUGCGUAGAUAUCAAGAGGAACACCUGAGGUGAAGACGGGUUGCUGGGCCAACACGUGACGCUGAGGCGACGAAAGCCAGGGAGCAAACGG
rnacentral:rRNA from 1 species